CUAGACUCCUACAGUUUGCUGUUGCAGGUGGUCUCCUGUGCCAGGGUUCAAACCAGAAUUCGAUUCCACCCCCUCAUCUUCAAGUCCUGCAGGAAAAGGAUCCUUUAUGAAGUGAUCUAAACCUUUUGCCCAACUGCAAGGCAAAAUAACACAAGAAUCGGCAUGAUGGAAGUUUAGAGGGAUGAACCUCAGAGAGAAGGAUGCUGGGUACAGAUGAUAAAACGAUG
ensembl:lncRNA